CUGCGGCAUAUAAGUACUUCAGUCUGAGAACUCGUCUUCAUCCAUGUGGUUUCUACAGAGUAUAGUUGGGCGAUUGUAUUGCAUAGCAUUGACCAGCUAGCGCGCAAGAAGAUGAGACACAAGAAUCAAGAUGUAAAUGUGACAUGAACAUGUUAUCCAACAUGCUCACAGAAUAUUUCACACGAAGCUGAAUUAUCCAGCCUCCAUGGCUAGCCAGGUGGAAACCAGGCCGCCAGCUUCUGCUAGUGGGCUAGCUAGCUAGCUAGCGUGGCCCUGCAAUGUUUCAACGGGAUUGUUGUGGACCCCACAUCGUGAAGUAAGAAUCGAUAUUCCGUGAUUCUGAAAUAUUGUAACGUUUUGGACUAAAUGGAUGAGGUAGAAGAACGUGUUCACCUGCCACCAUGUAGUUCUGUAAGUUAUAUCUAAGAUAAAUACAUGAAAGAGGGAUGCCCAACUCGACCUGAGGUGCCAGAAACCUAUUCUCCUAUUGACCUCUUUGUGACAAUAAAAACGUGUUUUUUUUUUAAAGUUCUUG